UACAGAGGGUGCGAGCGUUGUCCGGAAUCACUGGGCGUAAAGGGCGCGUAGGUGGUGGCUUAAGCGUGCGGUGAAAGCUCGGAGCUCAACUCCGAGUCGGCCGUGCGAACUGGGCUCACUGGAGCAUAGUAGAGGCAGGUGGAAUUCCGGGUGUAGUGGUGGAAUGCGUAGAGCUCCGGAGGAACACCAGUGGCGAAGGCGGCCGCCUGGGCCAGUCCUGACGCUGAGCCGCGAAAGCGUGGGGAGCGAUCCGG
rnacentral:rRNA from 1 species